UAGCACCAGUAUAUCCCUUGAAUCUGCCAUGAAUUGGGUUCUGGAUUUUCAGAGUUCCAUUGUUGCUUCUUCCAAUUUUGUUGAGGCAUUGUCACUCAUCUGGGAGAUCCUCUCUUCCAAACAGCUUCUGGAUUCCCAAAGAAGACCUUGACACCUCAUCUUUUGUCCAGGGAAAGACUGACGUCUUUUACUGCAUUUGCUACCAAUCAAUAUCACCAACAGUAACUUUAAAAGGUAGGUCUUAUGCCAGGGAGAAUAAGUUAGAAAAAUCAAAGGCAGAAGACUGAAGAGUUGCAAAUAAGUGCUAUCAUGACCAGGAUCCUGGACCUACAGCUCUGAAAAUGAAGACUUUUUCCAUUAUACAAUCAUUUCUUAGUUGCUGUGAACACCUGUAGCUGCAUGCAGAACAAACUUCCUUGUUGAUGUGACUGAACCCACAAAGAAAUCUUUCCAUUCCCAGUGAAGAUGAUAUUCCUUCUCUCCUUUAUUCUUGGUAUUGCACCCUUUGCCUCCAUCUGAAAUUUGGGUUGACAGGGACUAAAGAUUCUCCACUGAUGGGAUGAAGAACUUGUCCCUCUUUCUGAUGAAAGCAGCUGAGCUCUAGACCCACUCUGUCACCACCAUCAAAUGAACAAACUCUAAGUGCUCUGCUGACAAGGAAGAUGAAGAAUGUUAUUUCUAAUUCAAGAAGGAUGUUCCCCACUAAAAUAAAUAC